rnacentral:rRNA from 1 species
ACUCUCGACACCUACGGGAGACAGCAGUGGGGAAUAUUGCACAAUGGGGGAAACCCUGAUGCAGCGACGCCGCGUGGAGGAAGAAGGUCUUCGGAUUGUAAACUCCUGUUGUUGGGGAAAAAGAGGAUGGUACCCAACAAGGAAGUGACGGCUAACUACGUGCCAGCAGCCGCGGUAAUCUGAGCGGGCUGGCAAGGC